CGGGUUAAUAUUCCCGUACUUGGUGUUACUGCGAAGGGGGGACGGAGAAGGCUAUGUUGGCCGGGCGACGGUUGUCCCGGUUUAAGCGUGUAGGUGUGUGUUCCAGGUAAAUCCGGUUCACUUUAACACUGAGGCGUGACGACGAGGCACUACGGUGCUGAAGCAACAAAUGCCCUGCUUCCAGGAAAAGCCUCUAAGCAUCAGGUAACAUCAAAUCGUACCCCAAACCGACACAGGUGGUCAGGUAGAGAAUACCAAGGCGCUUGAGAGAACUCGGGUGAAGGAACUAGGCAAAAUGGUGCCGUAACUUCGGGAGAAGGCACGCUGACACGUAGGUGAAGUGAUUUACUCAUGGAGCUGAAGUCAGUCGAAGAUACCAGCUGGCUGCAACUGUUUAUUAAAAACACAGCACUGUGCAAACACGAAAGUGGACGUAUACGGUGUGACGCCUGCCCGGUGCCGGAAGGUUAAUUGAUG
rnacentral:rRNA from 1 species